GUCAAGUUAUAACUUUGCCGUUACAUUUUUCACACGUCAUGAUACAAGCAAAUAAAUUAAUAAAUCAACCAAGACCACAGUCUGUCAUUUCAAAUGGUAACAAAUGAGUCAUAGUGGAAGAACAAGCAAGGUGGGCAGAGCCAAGCAGAGCUAGAGAGAUCCUAUUGGCGCGUUCUGUCAAACAUUUGCAUAUUUCCAUUAGGGAACGCCUACUUUGUGAAGUGCGCGUGUGUAAUAACUAAAUUCGCCUUUGCACUCCUUCAAAACAACGCAAUCUUUUGAAACUUUGGAAAAGCGUAAGGUCUACAAAACUUAGUUCACUCUGUUCGUAACAGAUUUUAGUUUUGGGAACAGAAAAUUGUAUUGAGAUAAAAAUGUAAUCCAUCUCGUUACAUCUUCUCCCACUGCAGAGUGGACUAAGUUUGGUAGUGAGUGGAAAAGCCAAGCUUUACAUUUAUACAUCCGGUGGAAUUUCUGUCUCAUUGUUCUAUCUGUGAAAUUAAAUGACACGUAUGAAUCAUGACAGGCUACAAACUCGAGCCGACUGCGAGCUGGGGUAGGCUAGGUCGUUUCACGUCUCAGGCCCUCGGAGGAAGCCGAUAGAGAAAGGGGUGAAUUUGCUGCUAAAAAGGCAAAUCCAGGAGGCAAAUCCAGGAGGGUAAGCAGGCCAACAUAACAAAUUAUUCUACUCGUUCACAAAGAGACAGGCGUGGUUAGAAACUCCGAUCAAGAAUAGGCCUAUAAGCGUUCUGAGCUUUGAUCAAUGCUGGGAAUAAUAUUUAGAUGUUGAUCCGUAAUUGAUUUCUUUAUUGUGUAUAAAAUAUAGAAAUAGUCUAUAUAUAUAUAUAUAUAUAUAUAUAUUUUUUUUUUUACAAAUUAGGAAAUAUUACCCAGGUCUGGAUCGGAUCUCGUCCUCAUAUGUAGUUACAGCUCUGUGUGCAGGUUAUGUUUUUAAUAUGACUGAAGGCUCUACUACCGACUGAAGCGAUGCGCUCUCCUUCAAACACCAAUUUCACGGCACUGUUUGUUUGCGCAUGGCCAGUCGCUCUCGAGGUCUUUCCGUCUCACUCGCAACCGGCAUCUUUGUACAAAAAAAAAUAUUAUCACUGGUGCGUCAACACCUGGGGUGUUCAGCAAAAUAAUUAAGGGCGGCAUAAUUUAAC
rnacentral:lncRNA from 1 species